UACGUAGGGUGCGAGCGUUGUCCGGAAUUAUUGGGCGUAAAGAGCUUGUAGGCGGUCUGUCGCGUCUGCUGUGAAAAUCCGGGGCUCAACCCCGGACUUGCAGUGGGUACGGGCAGACUAGAGUGUGGUAGGGGAGACUGGAAUUCCUGGUGCAGCGGUGAAAUGCGUAGAUAUCGAGAGGAACACCUGCGGCGAAGGCGGGUUGCUGGGCUGACACUGACGCUGAUGCGCGAAAGCUAGGGGAGCGAACGGG
rnacentral:rRNA from 1 species